UUUUCAGCGUGUCAGCUGCCGGGUGAACUCUGUGUUCCCACACACAUAAAGCCCACCGCACUCCCCAGCCAACAUCAACACCCCCCAAAGCAGAUUUGGCAUCAUCGUGAGUGCUGGAAUAAAUUUCUCGACUGUUUGAUAGGGUGCUGGCCUGCUCACAGACAGCUCAGCAAAACAAGACUCUGGGGACAUCCGUGAAUUCUCAUAAACACCGUUUAUGUACAGCAAAAUGUUGCUUUAUCAGACACAAAUUCCAAACGCGGUAAGAUUAGUUCAUCUGAUCCUAGUGCAGCUUGAAAUGCUGACUACCACAGUGUGCCUCUAAGUCCUGAGCUUGGCAGUUUUCCUGAUGCAGACAAGAGGUGGGACUUGUUUUAUAAGUCAUCAGCCCCAAGGCCUUCACAAGAAAAAGUGAUGUUUGCCUUGGGGGAUUCUAAUUCCUCAGCUUUGGUAAGUCAUAUGACAUUGACAUCCCUAAGAAAUUCAAAGUUACGUGGAAGAAAAUUAAACAGCAUAUCGAUGGAUGAGAUAGGCAUGAUGGUUUCUCCACGAUGUCAUUGCAUGGUGAUGAAGGAACAGCACUGUGAAAUAUGAGAUGCAAGUGUCAUCAAAAUAUUACCCUGGUUUUGCAAGGAGUUGCGCAAGGAGCUAUUCCUUUUCUGCAGAAGGAAGGCUUGGUUAUUCUUAAGUGUAAAAACAAGAACCAAUUGCCAGCAACAGAAAAAUAGAUGCCACGUUUCCUGGUUUUUUAAUUUCCUUUCUAUUCCAUGAAGUUUAGAUAUUCCUAAUAAUGAAAAAUAAAAAAAAAGCAAACUAUCA
rnacentral:lncRNA from 1 species